CCUACGGGAGGCAGCAGUGGGGAAUUUUGGACAAUGGGCGCAAGCCUGAUCCAGCAAUGCCGCGUGAGUGAAGAAGGCCUUCGGGUUGUAAAGCUCUUUUGUCAGGGAAGAAACGGCAGUUUCUAAUACAGAUUGCUAAUGACGGUACCUGAAGAAUAAGCACCGGCUAACUACGUGCCAGCAGCCGCGGUAAUACGUAGGGUGCAAGCGUUAAUCGGAAUUACUGGGCGUAAAGCGUGCGCAGGCGGUUUUGUAAGUUUGUCGUGAAAUCCCCGGGCUCAACCUGGGAAUGGCGAUGAAGACUGCAAGGCUAGAAUCUGGCAGAGGGGGGUAGAAUUCCACGUGUAGCAGUGAAAUGCGUAGAGAUGUGGAGGAACACCGAUGGCGAAGGCAGCCCCCUGGGUCAAGAUUGACGCUCAUGCACGAAAGCGUGGGGAGCAAACAGGAUUAGAUACCCUGGUAGUCCACGCCCUAAACGAUGUCUACUAGUUGUCGGGUUUUAAUUAACGUUGGUAACGCAGCUAACGCGUGAAGUACGACCCGCCGUGGGGGUAGGUACGGUCGGCGAAGAAGUUAAAACGUAACGAAACGGAAAGUUAGUACGGACGUGAGACGUAGCCGACGGACGACGACGAGGGAGGAGG
rnacentral:rRNA from 1 species